GAUGAACGCUAGCUACAGGCUUAACACAUGCAAGUCGAGGGGCAGCAUUUUAGUUUGCUUGCAAACUAAAGAUGGCGACCGGCGCACGGGUGAGUAACACGUAUCCAACCUGCCGAUAACUCGGGGAUAGCCUUUCGAAAGAAAGAUUAAUAUCCGAUAGUAUAUUAAAACCGCAUGGUUUUACUAUUAAAGAAUUUCGGUUAUCGAUGGGGAUGCGUUCCAUUAGUUUGUUGGCGGGGUAAUGGCCCACCAAGACUACGAUGGAUAGGGGUUCUGAGAGGAAGGUCCCCCACAUUGGAACUGAGACACGGUCCAAACUCCUACGGGAGGCAGCAGUGAGGAAUAUUGGUCAAUGGACGAGAGUCUGAACCAGCCAAGUAGCGUGAAGGAUGACUGCCCUAUGGGUUGUAAACUUCUUUUAUAUGGGAAUAAAGUAUUCCACGUGUGGAAUUUUGUAUGUACCAUAUGAAUAAGGAUCGGCUAACUCCGUGCCAGCAGCCGCGGUAAUACGGAGGAUCCGAGCGUUAUCCGGAUUUAUUGGGUUUAAAGGGAGCGUAGGUGGAUUGUUAAGUCAGUUGUGAAAGUUUGCGGCUCAACCGUAAAAUUGCAGUUGAAACUGGCAGUCUUGAGUACAGUAGAGGUGGGCGGAAUUCGUGGUGUAGCGGUGAAAUGCUUAGAUAUCACGAAGAACUCCGAUUGCGAAGGCAGCUCACUAGACUGCAACUGACACUGAUGCUCGAAAGUGUGGGUAUCAAACAGGAUUAGAUACCCUGGUAGUCCACACAGUAAACGAUGAAUACUCGCUGUUUGCGAUAUACAGUAAGCGGCCAAGCGAAAGCAUUAAGUAUUCCACCUGGGGAGUACGCCGGCAACGGUGAAACUCAAAGGAAUUGACGGGGGCCCGCACAAGCGGAGGAACAUGUGGUUUAAUUCGAUGAUACGCGAGGAACCUUACCCGGGCUUAAAUUGCAUUUGAAUAAUCUGGAAACAGGUUAGCCGCAAGGCAAAUGUGAAGGUGCUGCAUGGUUGUCGUCAGCUCGUGCCGUGAGGUGUCGGCUUAAGUGCCAUAACGAGCGCAACCCUUAUCUUUAGUUACUAACAGGUUAUGCUGAGGACUCUAGAGAGACUGCCGUCGUAAGAUGUGAGGAAGGUGGGGAUGACGUCAAAUCAGCACGGCCCUUACGUCCGGGGCUACACACGUGUUACAAUGGGGGGUACAGAAGGCAGCUACCUGGCGACAGGAUGCUAAUCCCAAAAACCUCUCUCAGUUCGGAUCGAAGUCUGCAACCCGACUUCGUGAAGCUGGAUUCGCUAGUAAUCGCGCAUCAGCCAUGGCGCGGUGAAUACGUUCCCGGGCCUUGUACACACCGCCCGUCAAGCCAUGAAAGCCGGGGGUACCUGAAGUACGUAACCGCAAGGAGCGUCCUAGGGUAAAACUGGUAAUUGGGGCU
rnacentral:rRNA from 1 species